rnacentral:rRNA from 1 species
GUUCAAUGGCAGGUACAGCGGGAAGCCACCCGGCGACGGGCGCGGAACCCGAAAACCUGUCUCAGUUCGGAUUGGAGUCUGCAACCCGACUCCAUGAAGCUGGAUUCGCUAGUAAUCGCGCAUCAGCCACGGCGCGGUGAAUACGUUCCCGGGCCUUGUACACACCGCCCGUCAAGCCAUGGAAGCCGGGGGUGCCUGAAGUGCGUGACCGCAAGGAGCGCCCUAGGGUAAAACCGGUGACUGGGGCUAAGUCGUAACAAGGUAAC